CCAAGGGAAAGACAAAUCAAUAAAACCUUUCUCUUUAGGUCCAGUGCUUGGAGUGAUGGUGAAGGGCAGGACAGCCACAGGGAGAUAGUUCUGGAUGUAUCAGCAGUGAUUAGGAACUUGGAACUGUUUCUAAUGAGUUGGUCUUGCUGUCUCACCAAGAGUUGGCCUGAGGCCCGAUUCUCACUUCUGGUUGGGCCAUUUCUGGACCUCUUCUCAGAACUACCUUCAGAAUCUUACCCAUAGUAGGUGCUUGAUAAGUGUUCUGUAGUAGACUCCAAGGUGUACAAAACUUUAUACAGACUUAUUAUAUUCGAGUUAUUGGUUGAAUUGUGCUCCCCUCAAAUUCAUAUGUUGUUGUCCCAAUGCCCAGUACCUCAGAAUGUGACCUUACUUUGAGACAGGAUCUUUACAGGGCCAACAGGUUAAUGUGAGGUCCUUAGGGUCAGCCGUUAUCCAAUAUGACUCCUGUCUUUAAAAAAAGGGAGGAAUUUGGAUACAGAGACACUCAUUUUUUUUGAGAGAAGAUGAUGUGAAGAGAUAUGAAGAAGAUAGUGAUUUACUAACCAAGGAGAGAGCCUGAAGCAGAUGCCUCCCUCAGAGUCUGCAGAAGGAACCAUCCCCGCUAACUCCUUGAUUUUGGAGUUCUAGUCUCCAGAACUAUGAGACACUAACUUUUUGUUGUUUUAGCCACCGAGUUUGUGGUACUUUGUUAUGGCAGCCCAAGGAAACUAGAACAAUUAGGUAAUGCUCAAGGCAAACCCAAGAAAGAAUGGAUGAUUACUUGAUCCAGUUUCACUGAAGAAUCAGGAAACCCAGGUUGAAGGAUAUGUCCAGGUGAGCUGCAUUUCAACCCAAGCCUGCUGACUGCAAGGUGUCCUUCCUCCAGGUUCCCAAGGCUCUCUGGGUGUCUCUAUCAUCAUAUUUCAAUUCAAUGUUUUCAUUGCUGGGCACUAUGUUGGCAAAUAUGGGAUCUCUGUGUUCUUAGAGCCAGCAUAGCGCACGUUUCAUAGGAAUUACGUGUUAAUUUUCAAAGAAAAUAAGUGCAUAAGGGAAUGAAUGAGUACAGGUAGGAGAGUGAAUGAGUGAGUCUUGAUUAAAAUUCAUGUUGCAAGUGACAGAUACAAUCUUGAGCUAAUGUAAGACAAAAGAUAACAAAGAAGGCUGAGGACCCAAGAGUGGCUCACAGAGCCCAAGGACAGGGGACAGCCAGAACAUGGAACGGGCAGAUCCAGGGACUGGAGAGCUACCAGGACUGAGUCUCUCAUUCUUUCUCCCUGUACAUGCAUGCAUUCAUUCUCUCAACAAACAUUUAUGGAGGCUCUACCUUGUACCAGACACACUUCUAGAAUGUGAUGAUACAGCCAUGAAUAAAAAGGCAACAGUCCCUUUUCUUGUGAAGCUGGGACCCUGUGGUGGAGAAGAGCAGUUCUGAAUUUCUGGAGUUGGGACAUUAUCAUUCUACCACACGUCAUGUCUGAGUGUCCCUGUGAAUACCAUUCUGAGAAUCUGAUUGUAAUAUCAUGGCCAAGGUGUCCACCUGCUACAAUCAACUGUGGCUGGGCUUGAAUAGGGCUUUCAGGGGUCCACCCUUUGUGAGGGAAGAGAUCUCAAGGCAGGUAAGCUGGGCAGAUAUCAAAAUGUUUCUACUACAGUGAACGAAAAAAUACAUGAAUGCGUAGAUAAGCAAAUGGAUUUACUCAAUCAUUUCUUUACAUGUGUGAUGAGUAUUUACUUUGGGUCAAUUACCGUCCUCACUGCUGUAGAUUCAACAGUGAACAACUCAAGUCCCUGCUUCCAUGGAGCUUAUUUUCUAGCUGGAGUAGGGGUGGGGCAGACAAUCCUGCCCUUAACUGAGAAGUGUCCUGCUUGAAUUACUUCCGAAGGCCUCUCUGUCCUCCCAGGUCAUGUCCAACACCAGGGCUGCCCUUCUUCUUUGAUCCAGUGUGGGAACUGACCAGUGGGAGCGUCUUAUCAUCCAAGCUAUGUUACCUGGUCCUCUAGGAUCCCUUCAUACUGGCCCAGCAGAAGCCUGGGGACCCUGGUUCAGCACAGUAGCAUGCCUCCUUUCUGUUUGCUUGGUGCCCAAGCCAGUCAGCUUCCUGGAAACCCUGCCCUUGGGCACUGUCACUAGUUCCCAUAGGAACCUCAAGGAGCUAAACUGUGUUCUGACCGUCCAUUCUCCUCUCUGGGCCAUUGUGGAGCCCACUGGUCUGUCAGCCCUCUAUUCAACAGCUGAGGCGGCCAUCUAUCCCUUAGCAGGUCUGGCAAGAGCCAGUCGAGACUCUUGAAGAGUAGAUGAUGUCCAUGGUGGCAGUGGCAGUAACCAUGUAGGCAAAUACCUGUGUCCAUAUGGGCUCAGGCAGGGGCUACUCAGGGCAGACAGUGCUCUCCUGGAGCUGUCCUUACUUGGCUGCUCCUGGGAACUGCAGCCACAGAGGAAUUUCUCCCAAGGGGGGCACAAAGAGAACAUGUAGAUAGGUAAUAAUGCAGCCACACAGGCCAUCACCAGAUGUGUGGGCUCUGCUGACAGGGAAGCUACACCCGCGAUAGGAGGGAGGACACGGGAAAGAUUGGGCUGUUUGGGGCUAUUUGGAUCCCAAAGUUGUGAGUCCCCUUUCAUAGUUCCUACUGGAUUUCAACCCUAUUUAAUGCAGUGAGUUUGUUAAGCCUACAAAAUGCUUGUCCUUCACAGGCAUUAAUAUUAUUCUAAAUUCAUGCAAAAGUGUGAGUUAGCUGUGGUCUCUGUCUGUGCUAGUCCUCAUUCUAGGAUUAUAAUAACUCACUUGAGUAAUAUCAGUAUCAUCAUCAUCCCCAAUUUAUAGGUGAGGAAACUGAGGCAUAGAGCGAGUAUUCAAAGUGUGUGGCAGAGCUGGGAUGUGAAUCUAGGUAACUUGGCAACAGAGCCCAUAUGCUGAACUGCCCCAAAUUGUCACUUGUCAUCUGGCCUGAAAGAUUAGCUUAAGCUAAUCACGUGUGGUGUUCUAAUCCCUGACACUGCCAAUAACAGAGGUAUUGAAUAAAUGAAAAUCUCAGACAGUAUUAUAAGCAAAGAAAAACUUGGCUGCAAUAUCUGUCAGGCCAGCAGAAGGUAAGAGGUGAUUCAGUACCAGGAGUGUGUUAGUUAUGUAAAUAGAAAUGAUCUACUUCCUGGGUCUACCAAUCAUCUAAUGACCAUCCGUGUCAUGAGAAUGUCACUGGAGGAAACUUUAGGGGCUCCUUUGUCAAAUCCUAGCUCAGAAAUGUGACAACUACAUCAACAAAAGGUCACAAUUUCCCCAAUUCAGGAAAUAAUCUAGAGUCAUCAGUACAAAUUGCCUGAACAGACUGGGCUUUGGCUGUCUCUCUGUGGCUGAUAUAACAAUUCCCGUCUUGGCUACUCUGCUAAUAAUCACCUUUCCUCCUUCUCUGAAAAGAGAGGAAGCCUCAAGUCUCUCCAACACCCUGCCUCCUAUGUUCUGCACCCUCUCCCCACAGGGAUCAGUGCUAACAGAGCUGGCUGGGGAGGCACGGUCUCUCACUCAACCUGCAGGUUGCUCCUUCCUCUGUCACUUCACACACCUGGGUGAGGCAUUCCUAUGUGUCAGGCUCUGUGCUGGGUACUGGGGCACAGGAAGGGGGACGACAUCUUCAGCCCCAAGGAGCUCACAGUAUGGGGGUUUGGGGAUGAGAGCUGGGAGGCAAACAGACUCUGUUCAGUGGCACAACUCAAAUGUCAGUGCUCCUUACCUGGGGCCAUCCUGGAAACCUUCUCACUCAUGUGUGCUAGUGACCUGUCAGGGUUUUAUGAAUGAAAUCACCAGUCUGGAAAAUUGCUCAGUCUCAUGCACAUCGAGCUCAUUGUCCCCCUACACCUGACAUCAACCCUCAGAUCAGCAAGUGAGCUCUUUUCCUGUGACAUGACACCUUCUUAGAUUUCUGAUUAUCUUCUCCACAGACUGUGAACCCCACAGGGCAGGGACACAUAGAGUGACAUCUGUGUUCCCAGUUAGGCUCAGGGCCAGGCAGAGGGGUUGGGGUUGAGUGACUGGGGCAAGGAGGCAUCUAGAAGCCUUUUCUGUGAGAACAGCUGAGGCUGCUCAGCCUUGAGAGGGAGGAGAUUCAGGAAGGAACAGUCAUUGUCCUAAAGUGCAGGGCUGUCAGAUCAGCCUGCAAAUCUACCUAAGGAAGGUGUGUCUGGCAGACCAGAGAACACCGGCACAGGCUUCCUGUGAAGGAGUGAGCUUCCCGGACUGGGAUGAGGAGCAGAGACCUGAGAGGCAACAGAAAGGCAAAGGAGGGGGACAGUCAAUCUCGAAGGCAGCGGCGUGAAGCAAUUACUCCUGUGGGGCUGAAGACUUCAUCGUCAAGACCUCUCAAGAUUGGAGAGAGAGAACUGUGGACCCUUUCCUUCAGCUCUUGCCAGUGUUCUUAGGGAGACUCUGGUUCCUGGAGUGUUGAAUAAAUAUGCAUUCUGAUUUCAUC